UUGUUGGUGGUGCAGAAGAGAUGAGUGAAGUGCUUAGAAUUGGUGUGAAGUGCACUGCUGAGGCACCAUAUGUUAGGCCUAAUAUGAAGGAGGUUCUUGAUAUGUUGAUUGGGAUAUACUACUCCAAAGGUUAUCCUUCAAGCCAUGGAAUCAUUGUUUAGUCUCUCUCAUUUUUGUAGUUAAAAAAAUGUGCAUAGUGUUCUGUUAAGAUGUAGUAUAGUCUUAGAUAUAAAAUGUUUCAUGCAGAAAAUUUCAUUCAUUGUCUUAACAUUGUUCUGAGAAUUAAGAGAUGUCUUUUGUUUCUUAUUUCAAUUGUUACCUAGAGAAAUCAAUAGUGUACAGUACAGGUUAUGCUAAUUCAUUUGCUUGAUAACAUUUUAUCAUGCAAAAUUGUUUGGUAUCACUGUAUCACAGUGAUUCUAAUGUUGAAUAAACCUAACUACCAAAACAUGCUGGUUUAUUGAUCUUAGUGUCUUAUGUAGUAUUUUCCUUCACAUCCUUUUCAAUAUACUUUUUCUUUGUAUCUUUUCAUUCACCAAGUUGUUGAUACAGACAAUAUUUUUGUCAUUAUUGCAACAUUUGUUGCACUAAUGAAUCUUAGUGGUAUCAGUCAUUACAUGUUAAUGCCAGAGUAUGUGAAAGAUAACUGGAAUAAAAUUAUAAAAGGCACCAGAAAUUCUUUAACGAGGUCCAUAUAUAUGUUAUUGUUAACUUCCUCCAUUCAAAUCCAAUUCCAUUCAUUUCAUCAAAUGCAUCCUUUACAGUUUGAAAGAUUCUUUACUAUUUUUAUAGUAUUAGUAAUUAAAUUUGGAAAAUAUUAGAGAGCAACAUUUUUAGUAAAAAGAUAAAAAAAAAAAAUAGUUAAUAUUGACUCAAAUACAAAAUAAAAAUGUUAAUUGUAUGAUAUUUCUGAUUAAAUUUAUAAAAGUGUGACCUGGUCCUAUAUAUCCGCGUCUUGAGGCUUAUUUCAAAAGAAAAAUAGCAAUCAAUUAUACUCUGCAGACAAAUGUCAAUUUUUUUUGCUAUUACUAUUUCCCAUACAAUCAUAACAAAAUAAAAUAAAAAUAAAAAUGAAUGACUAUAAUAGGCCUAUAUUAGAUAUAUACAAAAUUUUAACCACUAAAUUAAUUAUUAGUAUAAAAUAUAUGUUAAAAUAUUAAAUAUAUAUUAAAGUAAACUAAAUAAUAUAUAUACUAACACAUAAAUAUAGUAUCAACUGAUUUUGUUUAUGUAUGUAAUAUUUUUGAAUAGACAGUGUCUGCUAUUAUUUAUUAAAGAUUAGUUAAAGAGAGUUUGUAUAUAGAAAAGAGUUUCGAAAAUAUUUCAAUAAAAGAAUAAUAUUUACAAAUUUUUUUAAUCUAAAACUAAAGUACUUAAUUAUUAUAGGAUAAAAUAUAUUUUGUGUCCUAAUAUUUGUGACUUUUUUAAAAAAUAUUCCUAAUAUUUAAUUUUAUUCAAUUUUAUUCUUAAUAUUUUUAAUUCAUUUAAUUUUUUUCUAAUAUUUUUNNNNNNNNNGUAUUAGAAUGAAAAUUUGAAGUAUAUUUUAGGUGUAUAAUUUUUUUUUUAUGCAUAAAUUUUUUUAUUGACUAAUUUUUAUUGUUCUUUCAACAAGAGUGAGGUUGCAUAUUUCUGUGUGUAGAAACCACAAUAUAUAACAUUCGUAUGAAUUGUCUGUAGCUAAUGUUUGCUUGUUCUUGCUGAAUCCAUCUCCAAAAGAAAAUAUACAAGAUCACACAAGCAUGCAAAUUUAGUCUGAGAAUCAUCAUUUAAUUUGUACAUUGAAGAUAUAGAUAAGAUCGUCUACUAUUUUAGAUGAAUUUUUAUUAUUAGUUCAAACUCCUUUUUGUUUCCUUUUUUUUUUGGUAUUUUCUUUUUACUACCAUUUUUUUAAUUAGCAAAACCAUAUCAAAUUGGAUAGGAACAAAUAUGGAUUCACUACUUAACAAAAAUUCUACAAACGACAGCUAGACUCAUUAGAGUUAGUUGCAUUUGCAUAUAGGUUAAUUAGGGUAGUGAUGGUGGAGAAAAUAAUUAGGGGAUCAGAUCAGAUUAGAGCAAAUUGAUGACGUUUAUAGAGGCUAAGUGCAUUUCAAGUCAUGAAUAAUAAUAAUAGAGGCAUAUAUUGCCAUGUAUUUCAUGAUUAUUGUCCUCUAUUUAGAAGAGAAAAAAAGUCACCACUCAAGUGCUUCUCCACUAAAACUAUACUAGUGUUUCUAUUAGUUACGCAUUUCCAGAAUAAAAGACAUCAGAAUCAUGUGAAACAUGACAAAAAUAGUUACCAUAUUUGGUUAAAAAAAUACAUUAUUUCUUACAAAAAUGUGAGUUUGAUUCCAUUUUUGAAGUAUAGGAAAAAUGUUUAGAUGAUGUGUGUUAAGUUUUAACCAUUGAUAUUAUAUACCUGUAAUAAAAAUUAGUCAUUAAAUUAAUCAUGUGUAUAAUAUAUAUAUACGACUAAUAAUGACGGAACUAAAAUUCUAAUAAUAAAAACCUAAGAUUAUUUUAAAUAUUAUUUAAUAAAAAUAUUACUAAAAUAUAAAAAAGAUGUAACUUUAAUUUUAACAACACUUUAUUGACAUGCAUAUAUAGGCAUAAUGAAUAAAAAGUUGAAGACUUGUUGGGGGAUCAUAGUUAAUGUUAGGGACGGCAAAUAGGUCUAAACUCGUUGGAUCGAUCCGCAUAACCCGUUAAAAAGGCAAGUCGGACUGAAAAAUUGAGACCGUCACACAUCAAAAGCCCGUCUUACCCGUACCGCUUAAACCGUGGGUUUUAGCAGACUUUGGCGGGGUAGACUUUUCCGUCGGACUUAGAAUUUUUUUGAAGAUGUUCAAAUUUAGUGUUUUGGAUUAUAUUUUACGUUUGAUUGAUAAUGUUCUAAAUUUGUAGAUGUUUAAUUAUAUAUUUUGGACAAGAUUUAUUUUAUUUUGGACAAUGUUGAUUUUAUUAUUUUGUUUCAAAAAAUUUGAUUUAUGAUUAUGUUUAUUACAUAUUUAUAAUUAUAAAGAUUUUAAAGCUUGAAACACAUACACAAGACGAGAAAAUAAUAUGGAGUACCCUCGCAGAGCAACAAGAGAUGUUUCUCUUCAUGAACUCAGCAAAAGGCUUGCUGAGUUUUCUCAAGUGAGAGGAUGGGAUGAAUAUCACAGUCCAAGAAAUCUCCUUUUGGCUCUUGUAAGUAACCACCAAUAUAGUUAGUUAUUAAUAGAUGUUCAAAAAACAUGACUCUUAAUUUUCGACAGGUCGGAGAGGUGGGAGAACUAUCAGAGAUAUUCCAAUGGAAAGGAGAAGUAGGAAAGGGAUUACCAAAUUGGAGUUCAGCUGAUAAGGAGCACUUAGAAGAAGAGCUUUCAGAUGUUCUGCUCUACCUUGUUCGUCUUGCUGAUGUUUGUGGCCUUGAUCUUGGUCAAGCAGCUCUUGCAAAAAUAAUCAAGAAUGCUCAAAAAUACCCUCUUGUUACUAAUCAUAAUGAUCAUCACCACAACCCUGAACCCAAAUUAGAAAAGUUAAAUUCUGAGUAAUGUGAUCUUUUGUAGUUCAAAAUAAUGAUUGAACAUGAAACAUCUAUCAUAGGAAGACAUACCUCUCUCACCACUAUUGUUGUCUUGUAACAUGUUUAGUUGUUUAAUUAGUUUGAGUCUACUAUCCGCCGUGUAACACCAAAUUAAUAAUCAUGAUGUGUGGUUUGGUUAAUAGUACACAGUCACUUGACAAUGUUAGGGGUGUCCGCGGAUCGGAUCGGAUCGGAUAUGGCCGAAAAUUCGAUCCAAUCCGCAUAAUUUUCAUCGGAUCGGAUCGGAUAUGAUAUCCGCACUUUUUAGUGCCGGAUCCGAUUCUUUGCGGAUCGGAUCGGAUUGGAGAUCGGAUAUAUCCGCAUAAUUAAACAUUCUCUUUUUAAUCAUAUUUCUAUGUAAAAGAAUUCGAUAAAAAUAUUUCUUUCAUACUUUUAAACUUAUUUAUUCCUAAAAUAUUUUUAAUCAAACACUCUCUAAAUAACAAAAAUAAAAUAAUACAAUAUAUGAAUAAUAAUUACUAACUAAAAUAUACAAAUAAGUAAAUAUAAUACCAAACAUAUAUAUAUAUAUAUAUAUAUUUUAAUUAUUAUAGUGCGGAUCUGCGGAUCCGCGGAUCAGAUACGCAGAUGUAGAGCAGAUAUCCGCGAUCCGAUCCGCAAAGGGUGCGGAUCGGAUUCGAUUCGAUCCCAUCAAUUUGCGGAUCGGAUCGUAUCCGUAAUUUUCGGAUCGGAUACGGAUAUUUACCGCAGAUCUGCGGAUACGAUCCGAUCCAUGGACACCCCUAGACAAUGUGUUCUAAUAUACUUUUAUUAGCUAGUGGUUCCUUGUGGAACAGAGCAUAUAUUUUUG
rnacentral:lncRNA from 1 species